rnacentral:lncRNA from 1 species
UGUGUCUCUGCCCGGCUUUGGUAUCAGAAUGAUGCUGGCCUCAUAAAAUGAGUUAGGGAGGAUUCCCUCUUUUUCUAUUGAUUGGAAUAGUUUCAGAAGGAAUGGUACCAGUUCCUCCUUGUACCUCUGUUAGAAUUUACACACACACACACCCCAUAUGCUUUGUGACUGUUGCACAAUUUCUUUUCUGUUGCUCUUGCCAAAAAAAGAAUAAGAAUGCAUGUACAUGUAUAGGAGUCACCAAAAUAUAUGCGAGUCUCCACAUAAGGUCAUGCACAUUGACUACAAUGUGAGAAGUGACCUUGGAGUUAUUCAAGUUGGUGGGGAAGCUCCCUGACAAUGACAUUGUUAAAAUUUCCAACAACUUGCUACAGAUGCAGUCCCUGAGCAGCCAAAAUAGGUAAAAGGAAUACUAGGGAGGGUCCA